rnacentral:lncRNA from 1 species
UUUUUUUUUUUAAAAGACAAUCUUUCCUCCAUAGAGCUGGUUUUGCAACCUUUGUCAGAAAUCAGUUGGGCACAUAUGUCUGGGUCUGUUUCCAGGUUCUGUUCCGCUGAUCUGUAUGUACAUCCAGCCCUCCAUCAGCUUGUAGAAAAUUUAAACUUACCUUUGUGCCAAUUUAAAGUGUUUCAAUAUCAAUUACAAUGUAUUUCUUCAUCUAAAAAUAGUAUUAUAACUCAGCAACUACGUAAAGAUGAAUUUGGGGAACAGCCCCCUUAAAGUGCUUAGCUUAUAAGUCAUAUUUUCCUGGUUUAAGUGACCAGUUAUUGUCCUUUGGGGAAGAACCUGAACUUUGGUUAUCAAAACAAGGUUAAGCUAAAUCCUAUCCAGCAAAGCAUUCAGUACCUUGGCUGGCAUGCAGGCAUUUAGUAGCAAGUGCAUAUAUGUUUUAGAUUUGGAAAUCUGGUGUGUAUUUUUAACAAUCAAGGUAGAGUCCUGGCUCUUCAUUGAGUUUUUCUCCCACUGUCCCAGAUGACAGGGAAGCAAUAUGUACCUUGGGACCAGACAGUGCCCCCAAAGAGAGGCAGGCACUGAGGGUCUCACCAGAGACAAUUUGGAAGAAUGCCAUCUCUUUGGAAUAUGAAUGAGGAUGUCAAGAAGAGCUGCUUAACUUGCAAGAUUCUGUGGAAAAUAAAAAUGAAUAUCUCCUUGUUUAAAAUUACUAAGAAAAUAAAAUAAGAUGAAAAUUGAGAGAGAGGCAAACCAUAAGAGAUGUUAAACUCUAGGAAACAAACUGAAGAUUGCUGGGGUGAGGGUGCAGUGGAGCAUGGGGUAACUGGAUGACAGGCAUUAAGGAGGGCAUGUGAUGUGAUGAGCACUGGAUAUUAUAUGCAACUUAUGAAUCACUAAAUUCUACCUCUGAAACUAAUUAAAAAAAUUACUAAGAAUUUCAAGACGACAACAACAGAGCAUUAAGUCAAGCACUGGAUCCUUUUAGGAGCAUGGUCCAUGUGACUGUAUAAGUCACAUGCCUACUGGAGCUGACCCUGAGGUGUUCUGUGCUCAAAUAAGCUGUAGAAUUCAGCUUUUGUAACCUUUUGUACUUUGCAGAGUUUUUAAUAAGCUGUCAUAAUUUUGAUUUCCAGGAAGGGGCUGCGCUGUUUUUCAGAUGGAUUUGGUUAUGUAUGUGUGCAUGUGUGUGUUGUCACUGUAUUUUGGGAAACCUGCAUCACAAUUGUUAUAGAUGCACCCUGUACCUAUGAUAAGAUAUCGUACCUAAAAGACACAGAAAGUGGAUUACAUUUGAGUAAAAAUGUAGGAAUUUAUUUUCAGCAUUCCUGAAAAUGGUCAAAAUCAAGAAUAUAGACUGAAAUAAUUAUUUUCAUGAAUGCUCUUCAAAUAGAGGUCUCUGGCGUGGCCACCAGUCAGUUCAUAUUUAGGAUGGUUUUUUAAAAGAUUUUAUUUAUUUACUCAUAGAGAUUUUAUUUAUUUACUCAUAGACACACACACACACACACACACACACACACACAGAGACAGAGACAGAGACAGAGAGAGAAAGAGGCAGAGACACAGGCUGAGGGGAGAAGCAGGCUCCAUGCAGGGAGCCUGACAUGGGACUCGAUCCCAGGUCUCCAGGAUCAGGCCCUGAGCUGCAGGCGGCGCUAAACCACUGGGGCUGCCCUAGGAUGGGUUUCAAACAAGGGCAGGUCUAUGGGGGGAAACUUCUGCCCUGAGAAUCCCCAGAAGGAAGACCUUAAGCUCUAGACCAUGUGAUGAAGUUCAUAUAACCACAGGAGUGAUAAUAAUAAUAAUGGCCAAAAUUUAUCAAGUUCUAGCCAUGGGACAGGCAUAAGGCUUCCCAGAAACAAUCUCAAAAUCUGGGCGAGAAUCUUGCAGCAAGCUCUAUCAUCACCCCUUCUUCACAAGUGAGGAACUGAAGCACAGAGAGGCUAAGUAACCUUCCCAAGUUCAACACCUAGGAAGAAAGGCCCAGGCAGUCUGGCUCCCAAGCCCAGGACCUGAUUAAAGUCCAAUCUUUGGCAGUAGUAACAAGCCCAAGACCAGGAGCCUGAGAACACAGGGUCUGAUCUGGGUUAUGUCUCGGACUAACUCGGUGACCCUAAGGAAACCACUCUAUUACUGAGUUUAAAAUGAGGAUGGCAGGGGCUCCUGGAUGGCUCAGUAGGUUAGGUGUCCAACUUCAGAUUUCAGCUCAGGUUGUAAUCUCAAGGUUGCAAGAUUCUGCUUGGGAUUCUCUCUCUCCCUCUUCCUCUUCUCCUCCCCCCACUUGUGCAUGUGUGUGUGCGCGCGCACGUGCACACUCACUCAUUUUCUUUCUCCCUCAAAUAAAUAAAUAAAUUUUUUUGAAUGAGGAUAAAAUAGUAUCUCCAGUCCUUUUCAACUCUAAAAUGAUUGAACACAAUAAGAUAUAGUUUAUGAUUGUAUCCAAAGCAAAAUAAAUCUAGAAUAUACAUUUCCUAAGGGUAAAGAUCAUGUCUUGUGUGUAUCCUGGUAUCUUGACAGUUUAGAACAGUGCCUGACACACAGUAGGUUCUCAACCAUUUAUGAGUUGAAUGAAUGAAUGGUAAGUUAAACAAAUGAGAGAAUUCCAUAAUCCAACACAGAGCAAAUGAACAUUACAUAUUUUUAGAAGCCUCACAAAUCAUGACACCAAAUAGAAUCCUGCAAUUUUACUUGGUCUUGGUCAACUUCAAUGUCAAAAGUCCUACCAGCCUUCAGUCAUUGGACAUAUCGCUGGUCACAGGAACUCAUGAGCAGGAUCCACACAGUCUCUGAGGUGAAAGCUUUCACGUCAGUCUAAGGGAAAGCUUCACUUGGCCUUCAUUUGGUGUCAACAACCUAAGAAGUGGGGACUGAGUGAGAUGACAUAUUUCGGUUUUCAAAAAUCAGUGUAUCUUCAGGCACCUUUUGACAACAUGCAGACCUUUGCUCUCUCAUGAGGCACAUAAUGUGUGUGGGGCCAGUGGAGUUAAACUUCAUAACUCUAACCCCUAUGCACUGAGAAUAUUGACCUCCUAAUACACGUUUUUAAAACCUUUUUUUCUGGAAGAUAGCGAAAGUGCAGUAGGUUCUAAUAAAAUCAGUAUAUUCUGAUAACUCUGCAUCUGAUGAAAGGAAGAUCUCAUGAAGAAGAAACACCUUUGUACAUGUGGGUCCCCCAACAGAAUUACCCCUGAGUUCCCUGGCAAUCCAUCCUGAGCUUCCAUUCACCACCCAUCCCCACUCUGCCAGUGUUCUCUCUCAUUGUUCGCUCAUUAUUUUGCUUCAUAACAUUUACCACCGCUUGUAAUUAUGCGCUAUUUGUUUACUCAUCAGCGAAUGUCUUUUCCUUGAGACUGCAGGUCCAGAAGAUAGCGAUUAUGAACACAGAUGAAUAGUCUCACCAGGUAGGGGGGCAUACUAAAAGGGACCAAAAAAUAUUUGCAGAAAGAGUGAAUCGAUAAACAAGUAUAUUCAUUAAUAAGAGAAAAGGAGUUCAUAAUAUAUUGUUGAGUAAGCGCAUUAUAAAAGUGCAUUAGAUACUAUGUGAUCCCUCUUAAAAGAUAUUUGUAAGAUACCCACGUGUAGAAUUUUACAGACAGUUAUAUACACAUGUGAAAAAAACAAAUCUAGAUGUAGAAACUGAGAUGCUCACAUUAUUCAUCUUAGUUUGCUGGCAUGGAGUGAUUUUAUUUUUUAAAUUUACUAAUUUGUACCUCUUCAUUUUUCAGUAAUGGAUAUGUACUACUUAUGUUUAAAUAUUUUUUAAAGAACAUAAUGCAAUUUAAAAUCCCCGAGUUACUUAAGUUUAUGAUUAAUGUCUAGACUCCUCAAAUGGAAUAUAUAUUUUUUAAUGAAAGAAACCACACAUGAUACAUCUAUGAACCCCUCCACUUCCCCCCAUGUAUGUGCAUAAGCAUGAAACAAAAGCUCAUAAAACAGCAGGGAUAGCUCAUAAGUCCUAUUGUAAGCCAGGAGAUGGAGAAAUGCUCAGACAUAUAAAUCAGGGCUACAGACUUCUCAUUUCCUACUUUGUGUCUGCUUACACAUGUGUGGGUCGAAGUGCUGUCGAAGACAGGAAUCGUACGAGGAGCAGGAAGACUGCGUGGCUCUUCUGAGCAUUGGCUAAUUUAUGUACUUUAUUUAAUCAACUUCUUAUGCUGCUAUAAAAUGCUAACUCAUUCCAAAAUAAAAAAUUUAAACAAGGUUUUAAUUAAAACUUGUAUUGCUAUGGGCAUAAAUCCACACGAUGUUCCUUUCUUGGUCAAUGGAUUUAUACUGUACUAGAUUGGUAAAGCUGUUGAGAAUCCUUUAUUUUGGUAAUAUUUCAUAUCUGGCAAUACCUUAACAUCAUCUGAUUAACAUGAAUUUUCAUACCACCUCAAUGUAGAGAGUCAAAGCCACCGGUGGAUUACAGGACUCCACUCACACGGGGUCUGUGUUUGCAUCUGUGUCCCUGCGGGGGGAGCCAGCUCCCCAUGGCUCCACUCCCCCAUCCUGAGGCUACUUCAUUAUCACAAUAAAAUCCAGCUUUAUGUCACCACCUGCAUGUCCAAAUGGAGUCCAACAUUAUCUCGAUAAAGUAAAAUCACAUUGGCAAUCUAUGGCUUUUUCUUUGGGUCAACAUAAUUCCACUGACAGAAUCAAGAACAAGGAAAUGUAAUAUCCUCAUCACAAAUACUGGUGGAGGAAAUGUGGGUACUCUGGCCUUAUAUCGCUCCUACUGUUGUAGCCAUUACGGGUGACAACAGCAUGAAAUACUUUAACAUUUUAAUAAUUCUGCUGAAAUUACAGUGGCUCCACAUCAUGCUUAUAUUCCUAGUCACUUUACAAAGUUGAUAAACAGGCAUUUGUGUCAAGCUCUCUGACUAUUAACCCAAUAUUUUUAUUGAGAAUUUAUUUUUUUAAAGAUUUUAUUUAUUGAGAGAGAGAGAAUGAGCAGGAGAGAGUAGGAGAAGAGGCUCCCUGCUGAGCUGGGAGCCUGACAAGGGGCUCGAUCCUGGGAUCAUGACCUGAGCUGAAGGCCAACACUUAACUGACUAAGCCACCCAGGGGCUCAGAAUUGAGAAUUUAAAAGUAGGUGAAGGGAAAACGCGUAAAUACUUGACUUUGUGUAGACUGAAGAUUUCUUUCAGAGAAGAGAUCAUGUACAGUACUAGAAAAAAAAAUGUUUUUCCCCCUCUUGCCUUUAUAAUAUCAACAGAAGCUACUCUUUCUUUCUCAACUUUAAAACAUGCCAAAACACGCUCAUGGGUGGAUAAAUAGCUAACCUGGGAGAGUCAGGAUACUAGAUUGUGGUUGAUCCUUUAUUGUUCCCUUCAAUGGCCAGCCUCAUGUGGGAGGAAGCAUGCAUUUCUUAGUGCCUCUAGAGUGAGGCAUGGAUAUGUGACUUACAGCCAAGAUCAUGUCAGCAAAGUGUCUGGAACAGCGGCUCUUGAGUGUUUGCAUGGUUUGCCAUGCUUCUGAUGCUACUGUGACCUGCCCUGAGCAAAACAAAUCCCACAAUCCUGUUGGUCCAGAGAGGAACAGAAUCAAGUGGAGCUGACCUGGCCCCAUCUGGUACCUUGGAGACAAGUCCAUUCCAGCCUGACCUAGCUGAGGUCAGCCAAUACCCAGCCAACUAGGAAUUCAAGGGAAAGAGAGAUAAAUGGUUCUAGAUUCAGGGGGGACUAUUUGUUAUACUGCAUUAUUCCAGAAGUAGCUGACUAAUACACAAUCUGUUAAAAACAGAGUUGUAGCAUAAUAUGUUCAAAGACUGAACAGGAACUAAAGUGACCAUCUGGACCGGCUCCUCUCUUUUGGUAGAUGAGGACACUGAGGCUCAAAACUUGCAACUUGCUCCAAAGUAUAGAAGAGAGUAGGAACCAGGUCUCCUGAUACUCCGUGCUUUUCCCCGACUGAGCAUGGCAGAUUCCAGACUGGCAUGGAUUUUUGUUAAGAGCCCUGGAUUAUACGGUCUACCUCCCUGCUUCAAGUGUGCCUCAUUCUUGUCUGCCCACUCUCUCCUCCUUCCCUCCCCCAGGCUUCCCCAUCUUGGAUUGAUC